CCUACGGGAGGCAGCAGUGAGGAAUAUUGGUCAAUGGACGAGAGUCUGAACCAGCCAAGUAGCGUGAAGGUUGACUGCCCUAUGGGUUGUAAACCUCUUUUAUAUGGGAAUAAAAUGUUCCACGUGUGGGAUUCUGUAUGUACCAUAUGAAUAAGGAUCGGCUAACUCCGUGCCAGCAGCCGCGGUAAUACGGAGGAUCCGAGCGUUAUCCGGAUUUAUUGGGUUUAAAGGGAGCGUAGGUGGAUUGUUAAGUCAGUUGUGAAAGUUUGCGGCUCAACCAUAAAAUUGCAGUUGAAACUGGCAGUCUUGAGUACAGUAGAGGUAGGCGGAAUUCGUGGUGUAGCGGUGAAAUGCUUAGAUAUCACGAAGAACUCCGAUUGCGAAGGCAGCUCACUGGACUGCAACUGACACUGAGGCUCGAAAGUGUGGGUAUCAAACAGGAUUAGAUACCCCAGUAGUC
rnacentral:rRNA from 1 species